GAUGAACGCUAGCGGCAGGCUUAACACAUGCAAGUCGAGGGGCAGCGCGGGGUAGCAAUGCUCUGGCGGCGACCGGCGGAAGGGUGCGUAACACGUGAGCAACUUGCCCAUAUCAGGAGGAUAAGCAUUGGAAACGAUGUCUAAUACUGCAUAACAACAUGAGGAGCAUUCUUCAUGUUUGAAAGAUACGUCGGAUAUGGAUAGGCUCGCGGGACAUUAGCUAGUUGGAGUGGUAACGGCACACCAAGGCGACGAUGGGUAACCGGCCUGAGAGGGCGAUCGGUCACACUGGAACUGAGACACGGUCCAGACUCCUACGGGAGGCAGCAGUGGGGAAUAUUGCACAAUGGAGGAAACUCUGAUGCAGCGACGCCGCGUGGAUGAUGAAGGCUUUCGAGUCGUAAAAUCCUGUCCUUAGGGAAGAUAAUGACGGUACCUAAGGAGGAAGCCCCGGCUAACUACGUGCCAGCAGCC
rnacentral:rRNA from 1 species